ACCACAGCCCUGCUGAGCUUCUUGUGGGUACAAUCUCCUCCUGUCCUCCGGCUAUGGCCACCAGCCCCCUUUACCCUGUGAUUCUUUGUUUCUUGGGAGUAGAAUCUCUAAAUGCUGGGGUGGUGCAGACACCCAGGUAUGAGGUGAGAGGGAAGGGAAAGAACGUAGCUCUGAAGUGUGAGCCCAUGGCAGGCCACACUGCCCUUUCCUGGUACAGACAGACCGUGGCGCGGGGACUGGAAGCACUGAUCUCCUUCCAGAACCAGGCUCUGGUGGAUGAUGCAGGGAUGCCCAAAGAGCGAUUCUCCGCGGACAUGCCUACUGCGUCGCGCUCCAACUUGAAGAUCCAGCCCACACAACCCGGAGACUCAGCCAAGUACUUCUGCGCCAGCAGCUCUCUGGAUGAAACCAUUCAGACUCCCCGGCCCCUGGUCACAGAGAAAGGACAGAAAGUAAAGAUGUCUUAUGUCCCUAAAAAAGGACACAAGGGUGUGAUGUGGUAUCAACACAUCCUGGAAAAGAAGCUCAAGGUCUUGAUUUCCUUCCAGAAUGAAGAUGUCAUGGAUGAUCCAGGGAUGAUCCCAGGGAGAAAUUUUUCAGCUGAGUGCAUUAAAAACUCACACUGUAACCUGGAGGUCCUGGCUUCGGAGCUGCGGGAUUCUACCAUGUAUCUGUGUGCCAGCAGUCAUAUCACAGUGCUGAAUGUGAGCUGA